UACGUAGGGUGCGAGCGUUAAUCGGAAUUACUGGGCGUAAAGGGUGUGCAGGCGGCUGAGUAAGACAGAUGUGAAAUCCCCGGGCUUAACCUGGGAACCGCAUAUGUGACUGCUUGGCUAGAGUGCGUCAGAGGGAGGUGGAAUUCCACGUGUAGCAGUGAAAUGCGUAGAUAUGUGGAAGAACACCAGUGGCGAAGGCGGCCGCCUGGCCUGUUGCUGACGCUGAGGCACGAAAGCGUGGGGAGCAAAUAGG
rnacentral:rRNA from 1 species